UUAGUUGGUGGAGUGAUUUGUCUGGUUAAUUCCGUUAACGAACGAGACCUCCGCCUGCUAAAUAGUUCAGUGUAAUAUUUUGUUACAUGUGGACUUCUUAGAGGGACUUUUGGCGAUUAGCCAAAGGAAGUUGGAGGCAAUAACAGG
rnacentral:rRNA from 1 species